GCCAGGCAUGGUGGCGCGUGCCUGUAAUCCCAGCUACUCAGGAGGCUGAGGCAGAAGAAUCGCUUGAACCCGGGAGGCGGAGGUUGCAGUGAGCCGAGAUCUUGCCACUGCACUACAGCCUGGGUGACAGAGCGAGACUCUGUCUGGG
rnacentral:SRP_RNA from 1 species